rnacentral:rRNA from 1 species
UACAGAGGGGGCAAGCGUUGUUCGGAGUUACUGGGCGUAAAGGGCGCGUAGGCGGUUUGUCAAGUGAGAUGUGAAAUCCCCGGGCUUAACCUGGGAACUGCAUCUUAUACUGAUGAGCUGGAGUACUGUAGAGGACAGUGGAAUUUCCGGUGUAGCGGUGAAAUGCGUAGAGAUCGGAAGGAACACCAGUGGCGAAGGCGGCUGUCUGGACAGAUACUGACGCUGAGGCGCGAAAGCGUGGGGAGCAAACAGG